rnacentral:tRNA from 2 species
GGCGGAUGUAGCCAAGUGGAUUAAGGCAGUGGAUUGUGA